rnacentral:rRNA from 1 species
AGUGAACGCUGGCGGUAGGCCUAACACAUGCGAGUCGAACGGCAGCACAGUAAGAGCUUGCUCUUACGGGUGGCGAGUGGCGGACGGGUGAGGAAUACAUCGGAAUCUACUUUUUCGUGGGGGAUAACGUAGGGAAACUUACGCUAAUACCGCAUACGACCUACGGGUGAAAGCAGGGGAUCUUCGGACCUUGCGCGAUUGAAUGAGCCGAUGUCGGAUUAGCUAGUUGGCGGGGUAAAGGCCCACCAAGGCGACGAUCCGUAGCUGGUCUGAGAGGAUGAUCAGCCACACUGGAACUGAGACACGGUCCAGACUCCUACGGGAGGCAGCAGUGGGGAAUAUUGGACAAUGGGCGCAAGCCUGAUCCAGCCAUACCGCGUGGGUGAAGAAGGCCUUCGGGUUGUAAAGCCCUUUUGUUGGGAAAGAAAAGCAGCAGAUUAAUACCCCGCUGUUCUGACGGUACCCAAAGAAUAAGCACCGGCUAACUUCGUG